CACAUAUAUGUGAAUGUGUAUUCACAUAUAUGUGAAUGUGUAUUCACAUAUAUGUGAAUGUGUAUUCACAUAUAUGUGAAUGUGUAUUCACAUAUAUGUG
rnacentral:miRNA from 1 species